CUGCUCAGGAUGAACGCCGGCGGUGUGCCUAAUACAUGCAAGUCGAACGCGUUGGCCCAAUUGAUUGAUGGUGCUUGCACCUGAUUGAUUUUGGUCGCCAACGAGUGGCGGACGGGUGAGUAACACGUAGGUAACCUGCCCAGAAGCGGGGGACAACAUUUGGAAACAGAUGCUAAUACCGCAUAACAACGUUGUUCGCAUGAACAACGCUUAAAAGAUGGCUUCUCGCUAUCACUUCUGGAUGGACCUGCGGUGCAUUAGCUUGUUGGUGGGGUAAUGGCCUACCAAGGCGAUGAUGCAUAGCCGAGUUGAGAGACUGAUCGGCCACAAUGGGACUGAGACACGGCCCAUACUCCUACGGGAGGCAGCAGUAGGGAAUCUUCCACAAUGGGCGCAAGCCUGAUGGAGCAACACCGCGUGAGUGAAGAAGGGUUUCGGCUCGUAAAGCUCUGUUGUUAAAGAAGAACACGUAUGAGAGUAACUGUUCAUACGUUGACGGUAUUUAACCAGAAAGUCACGGCUAACUACGUGCCAGCAGCCGCGGUAAUACGUAGGUGGCAAGCGUUAUCCGGAUUUAUUGGGCGUAAAGAGAGUGCAGGCGGUUUUCUAAGUCUGAUGUGAAAGCCUUCGGCUUAACCGGAGAAGUGCAUCGGAAACUGGAUAACUUGAGUGCAGAAGAGGGUAGUGGAACUCCAUGUGUAGCGGUGGAAUGCGUAGAUAUAUGGAAGAACACCAGUGGCGAAGGCGGCUACCUGGUCUGCAACUGACGCUGAGACUCGAAAGCAUGGGUAGCGAACAGGAUUAGAUACCCUGGUAGUCCAUGCCGUAAACGAUGAGUGCUAGGUGUUGGAGGGUUUCCGCCCUUCAGUGCCGGAGCUAACGCAUUAAGCACUCCGGCAUUGA
rnacentral:rRNA from 2 species